rnacentral:lncRNA from 1 species
GGAAAGGACAGAGGCAGACUUGAUACAUAAUCUGCAGAAACACACCAAGGGAAGGUCAAAUGACAUGAAGCUAUACCUGAGGAACAGAGGCAGAUAAAUGUUAUAACAACAAUUUCGACAAGUUAAAAACAGACGAAAGGGUGCAAUGUCAGCAGUCAAAGGCACCAAGGCAACAUAGAUGGAGUUUCGCUCUUGUUGCCCAGGCUGGAAUGCAAUGGUGUGAUCUCAGCUCACCGCAACCUCCAUCUCCCAGGUUCAAGCAAUUCUCCUGCCUCAGCCUCCAAGUAACUGGGAUUACAGGCAUGCGCCACCACACCCGGCUAAUUUUCUAUUUUUUAGUAGAGACGGGGUUUCUCCAUGUUGGUCAGGCUGGUCUUGAACUCCCAACCUCAGGUGAUCCACCUGCCUCACCUCCCAAAAUGCUGAGAUUACAGGCAUGAGCCACCGUGCCUGACCCCGAUAAUUACUCUUAAUGUCUUGUUGAAAAGCCUUCAAAUUUUUUUCUACGCAUACACAUACAUAUGUUUUGGGGUAUUUUUUUGUUUUAAGAAACUAAAAUCAAUUAUAAACUCUAGGGUAAUCACUAAAACCUUUUUAAAAAGAAAGUAUAAUUGACAUUCUCAAAGAGGAGAUAAAAUGGAAUUAUAUGAAAUGUUAACUUAAAACCACAGUAGGCAGUAAAUGUGGGGGGAGAAACAGAGCAUAUGCAAUGAAUAGAAAACAGUUACAAGCGUGGUGGAUAUUAAUCCAACUGUAUCAAUAACCACUUUACAUGUAAAUUACCUAAACACACCAAUUAAAAGACACAGAUUGUCAGAGUAGAUAAAGAAAACAAGACCCAAAUAUAUACCGUCUACAAGAGACCCAUUUUAAAUAUAAAGACUUAGGUUUAAAAUACCUAAGGGAUUUGAAAAGGAAGCUAAGAUCAUAGCAGUAAACUGCUUGGAGAUCUGAUUUUCUAUCUUUCUGUGAAAGACAAAAUGUUUACCUAUUUUACAACAUUUGAGGAAUACAGAAUCACAUUAUUUGACACAAAUUAAUGACAGAUGAAUACUGCAGGCAUAUACUGCUCCCUCAUCUUGCUUGUAUCCCACAAAUAAAAAUCUGCCAAUCAUAAGAGCAUUUACUUUCUUUCUUUAAAAUAACCUCUCAUAUCUUAUUUCUGGAAAUAGAGAAAUAUUAAUAAAUGCUGUUAUCCUUACCUGAGAGUGUGUGUGUGUGUGAGAGAGAGAGAUUACUGUAGCAGAUGCCUUUUUCAAUAUGGUUCAGUGUUCAACAUGAGCUGCUAAACUUUUGCUACUAGCAUAGCUAUGCAAUUAUUUACUGAUCUAGCAAGUUUAAUUUUAAUUCUAGAUGCUAAACAGAUAAAAAAAGUCAGCUGGUUUUCUACAUUCUUCCUAAAUUUAAUGCCCAAGAAGGCUAUUUUCCAUUGCUGUAUAUGUAGUAUGUUCACACUCAUCAAAUAUAUCUUGAAAAUAGGCUCUUUCAGACACACUAGAUAGUCACAUUAGGCUAAGACAAUUUCAAAUAUGCCAAAGGUACAUUCUGAAUUAUACAUACAUAUCUUGAUGCCACAGGCAACAAAACAAACCCCCAGAACUAGCAUUAGACUUAUUUUUGUGGUUAGAAAAAUGACUAAAAAUUUCCCAUUGUGUGAUGAUGCGUGAAUCUUUGAUCUCUAUUGGUCUGACUUCAUACUCAGGCUACUUAGUUUAUUUUGAGAAAGCAAUCUUUCCUGUUGUUUCUCAGGAAAUGGAAGAACAUAUUUAUGAACAAUGUUUUAACUUUCAGUUUAAGUGGUUUUAAUUUUUUAACUAUUUUCACUUUGAAGAGUAUAUAAUUAUGUGGAGAAAUUAAGACUCUCAAAAAGAAACUAGAGCAAAGAGGUGGAGAGGCAAUUGUAUAGUCAGACUUCAGCUAAAAGGGUGCAUUUUUAAAAGAUGCCUCACAAAAACUGUUACACCCUGUUUCUUCCUGUGAAGAAU